UUGGAGGGAAGUCUGGUGCCAGCAGCCGCGGUAAUUCCAGCUCCAAUAGCGUAUAUUAAAGUUGUUGCAGUUAAAAAGCUCGUAGUUGAAUUUCGGGACUAGUACGUCGGUCGUGCCUUAGGUACGUACUGGUGUUACUGGUUCCUACCUUCUGACGAACCAUCAUGUCAUUAAUUUGGUGUGGUGGGGAAUCAGGACUGUUACUUUGAAAAAAUUAGAGUGUUUAAAGCAGGCUCGCGCUUGAAUACAUUAGCAUGGAAUAAUGAAAUAGGACGUUG
rnacentral:rRNA from 1 species